GCAAGUCGAGCGGUAGCACAGAGAGCUUGCUCUCGGGUGACGAGCGGCGGACGGGUGAGUAAUGUCUGGGAAACUGCCUGAUGGAGGGGGAUAACUACUGGAAACGGUAGCUAAUACCGCAUAACGUCGCAAGACCAAAGUGGGGGACCUUCGGGCCUCAUGCCAUCAGAUGUGCCCAGAUGGGAUUAGCUGGUAGGUGGGGUAACGGCUCACCUAGGCGACGAUCCCUAGCUGGUCUGAGAGGAUGACCAGCCACACUGGAACUGAGACACGGUCCAGACUCCUACGGGAGGCAGCAGUGGGGAAUAUUGCACAAUGGGCGCAAGCCUGAUGCAGCCAUGCCGCGUGUGUGAAGAAGGCCUUCGGGUUGUAAAGCACUUUCAGCGGGGAGGAAGGCGGUGAGGUUAAUAACCUCAUCGAUUGACGUUACCCGCAGAAGAAGCACCGGCUAACUCCGUGCCAGCAGCCGCGGUAAUACGGAGGGUGCAAGCGUUAAUCGGAAUUACUGGGCGUAAAGCGCACGCAGGCGGUCUGUCAAGUCGGAUGUGAAAUCCCCGGGCUCAACCUGGGAACUGCAUUCGAAACUGGCAGGCUAGAGUCUUGUAGAGGGGGGUAGAAUUCCAGGUGUAGCGGUGAAAUGCGUAGAGAUCUGGAGGAAUACCGGUGGCGAAGGCGGCCCCCUGGACAAAGACUGACGCUCAGGUGCGAAAGCGUGGGGAGCAAACAGGAUUAGAUACCCUGGUAGUCCACGCUGUAAACGAUGUCGAUUUGGAGGUUGUGCCCUUGAGGCGUGGCUUCCGGAGCUAACGCGUUAAAUCGACCGCCUGGGGAGUACGGCCGCAAGGUUAAAACUCAAAUGAAUUGACGGGGGCCCGCACAAGCGGUGGAGCAUGUGGUUUAAUUCGAUGCAACGCGAAGAACCUUACCUGGUCUUGACAUCCACAGAACUUUCCAGAGAUGGAUUGGUGCCUUCGGGAACUGUGAGACAGGUGCUGCAUGGCUGUCGUCAGCUCGUGUUGUGAAAUGUUGGGUUAAGUCCCGCAACGAGCGCAACCCUUAUCCUUUGUUGCCAGCGGUUAGGCCGGGAACUCAAAGGAGACUGCCAGUGAUAAACUGGAGGAAGGUGGGGAUGACGUCAAGUCAUCAUGGCCCUUACGACCAGGGCUACACACGUGCUACAAUGGCAUAUACAAAGAGAAGCGACCUCGCGAGAGCAAGCGGACCUCAUAAAGUAUGUCGUAGUCCGGAUUGGAGUCUGCAACUCGACUCCAUGAAGUCGGAAUCGCUAGUAAUCGUAGAUCAGAAUGCUACGGUGAAUACGUUCCCGGGCCUUGUACACACCGCCCGUCACACCAUGGGAGUGGGUUGCAAAAGAAGUAGGUAGCUUAACCUUCGGGAGGGCGCUUACCAC
rnacentral:rRNA from 1 species